rnacentral:lncRNA from 1 species
GCCGUGUGUCGCGAGCGCAGUCACUGUGGAGGAGAGAGCGCGAGGCUGCGAUGUGAGAGAAACCUGAGGAGAAAAUAACGACAUUUUCGUGAAUGUUUUCUUACUUUUUCGCUCCAGUCGGGACAAAAAAGUACAAACGGGGCGUGAAAGAGUGCUGGACUCACCCAGAACAAGUUGAGUGAGUUGGAAAUGGCGAGUAGGUGGAGAGAGAGACAGAGAAUCUUCCGUUAAACUCUGAGUAUUUGACGGCUUUGAGGAAUUUGUGUGAAGAAACGGUUUAUUUGAGCUCGUUGUGUAAACAGGCAGGGAAGGUGCCUGGAUGAGUGAGAGACACUGGUGGAUUCAUUUACCGUGGAAAAAAAUCAUCCAGCUCUGACUUUGACCGUAUAGACGGGACGGGAGCGAGGCUAACCUACGUCGACGGCAUUAAACAUUUUUACGAGUUGCCGGGAUGUUAUAAAAGCCUGGUCGUUUCUGCGGGACAGCAGGACUGAGAGAAGAAGGUCGAGAGCCGGGAAUCGGAGGAUAUUAUGGCUCUCUCAGCGGUCUCCCUCUGUUUCAUCGUCCUCGCCUCCGCUAACUUGCACCUGAGCCACGGGAAUAACCGCCAUGCCGUCUACUGGAACAGCUCAAACAUUCAACGCUGCGCAGCAUCUCGAGAGCUGAUUGUCAUUGACUGGAGAAAGCAACAAUAGCUACAUUACAGCAUCUCCAGCCUUCUUCACCACCAUUACCACACAAUUCAUACAUGAGCCAAGGUUGCUGAAUUCAGCUCGCUAUUAAAGGUUUCUCAGCAGAAGCCUCGUUGGAGUGUUAGACAGACAGCCAGGCUUGUUUAUGGGCUCUGUUAGGUUGUUUGCAGCCGGCUGUCCGUGCUUUUAAAACACCCUCUGGUAAAUAACUAUGGAGGAUUCUGAUUGCUGCCUAUUGAGCAACUUGCUGAUUCACCAACAGUAAAAUUGUAAAGACCUAGAAAUGUGUGUAAAUGUCUUUAUCACAACACUCACAGCUGCUACCAGUUUGAGUGUCAGUGCCCUGGGAUUUUACAUGUGAAUAGAAUGAGUGGAAAUGCAAUUAAGACUAUAAAAAAUACCAUUAUUUGAUUGUUAUAGUAAUUAUAAUUACUAAAGGGUAUUUAAAGGGCCCAAUUUUUUUAUUUCUCUUGUAUCUAUUCCUUUUAGUUCAAUUUAUGAUGUCUGUGCUUACAGUAGCAUGCAAAAUUAUGUUAUGUUACAUAAUUGGCAGUUUCAAAACAGCA